rnacentral:lncRNA from 1 species
AUGAUCCUGCAAUCACCACCCGAUCUUUAUCGGUACUUUAGCUUCACUGACAUAGUAUCACGAAUUACUUUCCAAUAGGUCACUCGUCCUUCCACUACUCCAGUUCAAACACGCUUAAUUAUAAGGUUCUGAACGGAUAUGUGACGGAAAAUAUAAGUCAACUUUGAUGACAUAAAUAAUCAAAUUAAUUCUCUUAAGUUUUUUUCAUAUAUCACA